rnacentral:rRNA from 1 species
AUUGAACGCUGGCGGCAGGCCUAACACAUGCAAGUCGAGCGGAUGAAGGGAGCUUGCUCCUGGAUUCAGCGGCGGACGGGUGAGUAAUGCCUAGGAAUCUGCCUGGUAGUGGGGGAUAACGUCCGGAAACGGGCGCUAAUACCGCAUACGUCCUGAGGGAGAAAGUGGGGGAUCUUCGGACCUCACGCUAUCAGAUGAGCCUAGGUCGGAUUAGCUAGUUGGUGGGGUAAAGGCCUACCAAGGCGACGAUCCGUAACUGGUCUGAGAGGAUGAUCAGUCACACUGGAACUGAGACACGGUCCAGACUCCUACGGGAGGCAGCAGUGGGGAAUAUUGGACAAAGGGCGAAAGCCUGAUCCAGCCAUGCCGCGUGUGUGAAGAAGGUCUUCGGAUUGUAAAGCACUUUAAGUUGGGAGGAAGGGCAGUAAGUUAAUACCUUGCUGUUUUGACGUUACCAACAGAAUAAGCACUGGCUAACUUCGUG